AACGCGCAGAACCUUACCUGGUCUUGACAUCCCGGGAAUUCUUGAAGAGGGAAGUGCCUCGCAAGAGGAGCCUGGAGGACAGGUGCUGCAUGGCUGUCGUCAGCUCGUGUCGUGAGAUGUUGGGUUAAGUCCCGCAACGAGCGCAACCCUUGUCUUUAGUUGCCAUCAUUCAGUUGGGCACUCUAAAGAGACUGCCGGUGUCAAACCGGAGGAAGGUGGGGAUGACGUCAAGUCCUCAUGGCCUUUAUGACCAGGGCUACACACGUACUACAAUGGCCGGUACAAAGGGCAGCCACUUAGCGAUAAGGAGCCAAUCCCGUAAAGCCGGUCUCAGUCCGGAUUGGAGUCUGCAACUCGACUCCAUGAAGUUGGAAUCGCUAGUAAUCGCAGAUCAGCACGCUGCGGUGAAUACGUUCCCGGGCCUU
rnacentral:rRNA from 1 species